GAGUUUGAUCCUGGCUCAGAACGAACGCUGGCGGCAGGCCUAACACAUGCAAGUCGAGCGCUACCUUCGGGUGGAGCGGCGGACGGGUUAGUAACGCGUGGGAAUAUACCCUUCACUAUGGAAUAGCCUCGGGAAACUGAGAGUAAUACCAUAUACGCCCUUCGGGGGAAAGAUUUAUCGGUGAAGGAUUAGCCCGCGUAAGAUUAGAUAGUUGGUGGGGUAAUGGCCUACCAAGUCUACGAUCUUUAGCUGGUUUUAGAGGAUGAUCAGCAACACUGGGACUGAGACACGGCCCAGACUCCUACGGGAGGCAGCAGUGGGGAAUCUUAGACAAUGGGCGAAAGCCUGAUCUAGCCAUGCCGCGUGAGUGAUGAAGGUCUUAGGAUCGUAAAGCUCUUUCGCUAGGGAUGAUAAUGACAGUACCUAGUAAAGAAGCCCCGGCUUAACUCCGUGCCAGCAGCCGCGGUAAUACAGAGGGGGCUAGCGUUGUUCGGAAUUACUGGUCGUACAACGUACG
rnacentral:rRNA from 1 species